rnacentral:lncRNA from 1 species
UCCGACUCCACUUGGUCUGAUGUUUUAUCUUCGAGGAGAUGAAGCCCCAUACCAGUCUCUACACUGCAUAUGUAUGGUUUAUAUCCCCACUCAGAUAUCUUUCACCUGAAAACUAAAAAUGAACCUUCUAUCAGCUUUGCAGAAACGAAAAGAAAGAAAUAAACGGGUACCUCCUGAGUAACAAGACCCGCCUUGUUGAGCACCACUGCGAGAGGUAUUCCAGUCGAUUCGGCUUCACUAAGAACCUAUUCAGUAUCACAGGAUCCAAGCGCGGCCUAUUGAGUG